AUGUUUAAUUGCGGAACAACCAUAGAUAUUUUUCCUCUAAUUUGGCUCCCGUUCCUCCCAACAGUGAGCAAGACCUGCCAGCAGAGCUCACUGGAGCAGGGAGACAUCCCGUCAUCCUUUUGGCGCCUGACAAAAUCAUCACAGCAGCCGAAGUUGCUGUGCAGAGAAAGGAGAUCGUCCAAGCAUCAGGCCUCAUCCCAUCACAGAGGAAGGGUAUCCUCCAAAAAGCCAGUGUCCCUUCACAGAGGGAGGGGAUUCUCUCAGCCGCCAGCGUCAAUGCACAGAGGGAGGAGAACCUCCGAUCAUCAGGCGUCAUCCCUGCACGGAGGGAGGGGAUCCUCCAAACAGCUAGUGUCCCUUCACAGAGGAAGGGGAAUCUCUCAGCCGCCAGCAUCAAUGCACAGAGGGAGGAGAUCCUACGAUCAUCAGGCCUCAUCUCGUCACAGAGGGCGGGGAUCCUCCAAACAGCCAGUGUCACUGCGCAGAGGGAGGAAAUCGUCCCAAUGGCCAGCGUCCCUGUGCACAGGGAGGGGAUUGUCCCAAGGGCUAGUGUCCCUGCUGAGAGGGAGGAGAUCCUCCGAGCAUCAGGCCUCAUCCCUGCACAGAGGAAGGGGAUCCUCCAAACAGCCAGUGUCCCUGCACCGAGGGAGGGAAUUCUUAGAGCAGCUAGCAUCACUGCGCAGAGGGAGGAGAUCCUCAGAGCAUCAGGCCUCAUCCCUGCACAGAGGAAGGGUAUCCUCCAAAAAGCCAGUGUCCCUUCACAGAGGGAGGGGAUUCUCUCAGCCGCCAGCGUCAAUGCACAGAGGGAGGAGAACCUCCGAUCAUCAGGCCUCAUCCCUGCACGGAGGGAGGGGAUCCUCCAAACAGCCAGUGUCACUGCGCAGAAGGAGGAAAUCGUCCCAAUGGCGAACGCCCCUGCGCACAGGGAGGGGAUUGUCCCAAAGGCUAGUGUCCCUGCUGAGAGGGAGGAGAUCCUCCGAGCAUCAGGCCUCAUCCCUGCACAGAGGAAGGGGAUCCUCCAAACAGCCAGUGUCCCUGCACCGAGGGAGGGAAUUCUCAGAGCAGCUAGCAUCACUGCGCAGAGGGAGGAGAUCCUCAGAGCAUCAGGCCUCAUCCCUGCACAUAGGGAGGGGAUCCUCCGAGCAUCAGGCCUCAUCCCUACAAAGAGGGAGGGGAUUCUUCCAGCAGCUUCUAUCACUGCGCAGAAGAAUAAGAUGCUCAGAGCAUCACAACUCACCCCUGCACAAAGGGAGUUGA
rnacentral:lncRNA from 1 species